rnacentral:rRNA from 1 species
GAUGAACGCUGGCGGCGUGCUUAACACAUGCAAGUCGAACGGUAAGGCCCUUCGGGGUACACGAGUGGCGAACGGGUGAGUAACACGUGGGUGAUCUGCCCUGCACUUCGGGAUAAGCCUGGGAAACUGGGUCUAAUACCGGAUAGGACUCCUGGCUUCAUGGUUGGGGGUGGAAAGCUUUUGCGGUGUGGGAUGGGCCCGCGGCCUAUCAGCUUGUUGGUGGGGUAAUGGCCUACCAAGGCGACGACGGGUAGCCGGCCUGAGAGGGUGACCGGUCACACUGGGACUGAGAUACGGCCCAGACGCCUACGGGAGGCAGCAGUGGGGAAUAUUGCACAAUGGGCGCAAGCCUGAUGCAGCGACGCCGCGUGAGGGAUGACGGCCUUCGGGUUGUAAACCUCUUUCAGCUAUGACGAAGCGCAAGUGACGGUAGUAGCAGAAGAAGGACCGGCCAACUACGUGCCAGCAGCCGCGGUAA